rnacentral:rRNA from 1 species
UGGGGAAUAUUGGACAAUGGGCGCAAGCCUGAUCCAGCCAUGCCGCGUGAGUGAUGAAGGCCCUAGGGCUGUAAAGCUCUUUCACCGGUGAAGAUAAUGACGGUAACCGGAGAAGAAGCACCGGCUAACUCCGUGCCAGCAGCCGCGGUAAUACGGAGGGUGCAAGCGUUAAUCGGAAUUACUGGGCGUAAAGCGCACGCAGGCGGUCUGUUAAGUCAGAUGUGAAAUCCCAGAGCUCAACUCUGGAACUGCCUUUGAUACUGGGUACCUAGAGUAUGGAAGAGGUGAGUGGAAUUCCGAGUGUAGAGGUGAAAUUCGUAGAUAUUCGGAGGAACACCAGUGGCGAAGGCGGCUCACUGGUCCAUUACUGACGCUGAGGUGCGAAAGCGUGGGGAGCAAACA